CCCUUUGGGGUGUGACUGCGUACCUUUUGUAUAAUGGGUCAGCGACUUAUAUUCUGUAGCAAGGUUAACCGAAUAGGGGAGCCGGAGGGAAACCGAGUCUUAAUUGGGCGUUAAGUUGCAGGGUAUAGACCCGAAACCCGGUGAUCUAGCCAUGGGCAGGUUGAAGGUUGGGUAACACUAACUGGAGGACCGAACCGACUAAUGUUGAAAAAUUAGCGGAUGACCUGUGGCUGGGGGUGAAAGGCCAAUCAAACCGGGAGAUAGCUGGUUCUCCCCGAAAGCUAUUUAGGUAGCGCCUCGUGAAUUCAUCUCCGGGGGUAGAGCACUGUUUCGGCUAGGGGGCCAUCCCGGCUUACCAACCCGAUGCAAACUGCGAAUACCGGAGAAUGUUAUCACGGGAGACACACGGCGGGUGCUAACGUCCGUCGUGAAGAGGGAAACAACCCAGACCGCCAGCUAAGGUCCCAAAGUCAUGGUUAAGUGGGAAACGAUGUGGGAAGGCCCAGACAGCCAGGAUGUUGGCUUAGAAGCAGCCAUCAUUUAAAGAAAGCGUAAUAGCUCACUGGUCGAGUCGGCCUGCGCGGAAGAUGUAACGGGGCUAAACCAUGCACCGAAGCUGCGGCAGCGACGCUGAUGCGUUGUUGGGUAGGGGAGCGUUCUGUAAGCCUGCGAAGGUGGCCUGUGAGGGUUGCUGGAGGUAUCAGAAGUGCGAAUGCUGACAUAAGUAACGAUAAAGCGGGUGAAAAGCCCGCUCGCCGGAAGACCAAGGGUUCCUGUCCAACGUUAAUCGGGGCAGGGUGAGUCGACCCCUAAGGCGAGGCCGAAAGGCGUAGUCGAUGGGAAACGGGUUAAUAUUCCCGUACUUGGUGUUACUGCGAAGGGGGGACGGAGAAGGCUAUGUUGGCCGGGCGACGGUUGUCCCGGUUUAAGCGUGUAGGUGUGUGUUCCAGGUAAAUCCGGUUCACUUUAACACUGAGGCGUGAUGACGAGGCACUACGGUGCUGAAGCAACAAAUGCCCUGCUUCCAGGAAAAGCCUCUAAGCAUCAGGUAACAUCAAAUCGUACCCCAAACCGACACAGGUGGUCAGGUAGAGAAUACCAAGGCGCUUGAGAGAACUCGGGUGAAGGAACUAGGCAAAAUGGUGCCGUAACUUCGGGAGAAGGCACGCUGACACGUAGGUGAAGUGAUUUACUCAUGGAGCUGAAGUCAGUCGAAGAUACCAGCUGGCUGCAACUGUUUAUUAAAAACACAGCACUGUGCAAACACGAAAGUGGACGUAUACGGUGUGACGCCUGCCCGGUGCCGGAAGGUUAAUUGAUGGGGUCAGCGCAAGCGAAGCUCCUGAUCGAAGCCCCGGUAAACGGCGGCCGUAACUAUAACGGUCCUAAGGUAGCGAAAUUCCUUGUCGGGUAAGUUCCGACCUGCACGAAUGGCGUAAUGAUGGCCAGGCUGUCUCCACCCGAGACUCAGUGAAAUUGAACUCGCUGUGAAGAUGCAGUGUACCCGCGGCAAGACGGAAAGACCCCGUGAACCUUUACUAUAGCUUGACACUGAACAUUGAGCCUUGAUGUGUAGGAUAGGUGGGAGGCUUUGAAGUGUGGACGCCAGUCUGCAUGGAGCCGACCUUGAAAUACCACCCUUUAAUGUUUGAUGUUCUAACGUGGACCCGUUACCCGGGUUGCGGACAGUGUCUGGUGGGUAGUUUGACUGGGGCGGUCUCCUCCUAAAGAGUAACGGAGGAGCACGAAGGUUGGCUAAUCCUGGUCGGACAUCAGGAGGUUAGUGCAAUGGCAUAAGCCAGCUUGACUGCGAGCGUGACGGCGCGAGCAGGUGCGAAAGCAGGUCAUAGUGAUCCGGUGGUUCUGAAUGGAAGGGCCAUCGCUCAACGGAUAAAAGGUACUCCGGGGAUAACAGGCUGAUACCGCCCAAGAGUUCAUAUCGACGGCGGUGUUUGGCACCUCGAUGUCGGCUCAUCACAUCCUGGGGCUGAAGUAGGUCCCAAGGGUAUGGCUGUUCGCCAUUUAAAGUGGUACGCGAGCUGGGUUUAGAACGUCGUGAGACAGUUCGGUCCCUAUCUGCCGUGGGCGCUGGAGAACUGAGGGGGGCUGCUCCUAGUACGAGAGGACCGGAGUGGACGCAUCACUGGUGUUCGGGUUGUCAUGCCAAUGGCACUGCCCGGUAGCUAAAUGCGGAAGAGAUAAGUGCUGAAAGCAUCUAAGCACGAAACUUGCCCCGA
rnacentral:rRNA from 1 species